rnacentral:rRNA from 1 species
GACGAACGCUGGCGGCGUGCUUAACACAUGCAAGUCGAACGAUGAAGAAGAGAAACGUGAACUUCGGUUCAAAUUUCACUUCGGAUUAGUGGCAGACGGGUGAGUAACGCGUGAGCAACCUACCUCUUACAAAGGGAUAGCCUCGGGAAACCGUGAUUAAUACCAUAUGACACAUUCAUAAGGCAUCUUAAGAAUGUUAAAGCUACGGCGGUAAGAGAUGGGCUCGCGUCCCAUUAGCUAGUUGGUGAGGUAACGGCCCACCAAGGCGACGAUGGGUAACCGGGCUGAGAGGGUGAACGGUCACAUUGGAACUGAGACACGGUCCAAACUCCUACGGGAGGCAGCAGUGGGGAAUAUUGCACAAUGGAGGGAACUCUGAUGCAGCGACGCCGCGUGAGCGAUGAAGGAAUUCGUUUCGUAAAGCUCUGUUCUAUGGGAAGAAAAGGACUGUACCAUAGGAGAAAGCCCCGGCUAAAUACGUG